GUCACUGUACGGCUUUCAAAACUGAGAAAACCAAUGCCAUAUAGUCCACUUUGAAGCCUUGAGAAACAAAUGUUAAAUUUUUCUCAACACAAUUGAAACAAAACAACUAACUGCCUACAUUAAAUACACAUUAUGAAAAAGAAAUUUGACAGACUUAAACCAACAACAACUAUUGCAGUAAGCAUGACUCAAUACCUUGUUUCCGAGGCACACAAACAAGUUACAAUAACACUAAUAUAAGCACCAUUUGAAUAUGGAGAUUUUUUUUUCUAGUAAAAUCAGUGUAUGUAUGUAUUUGCAAAACAGUAAAUUAAAUUUCCCUUAACAGCUUAAUGAACAUUACAAAGACUAUGUAAGACUUCAGUACAAGCAAGAUGAUAUAAACUGUUGCUUAAAAUUAUAUUUAUUGCUUCAUACACAUAAUGUACAUACAAUGUAUCUUUUAUUUUUUAACAGGAGCUAAAAGAAAAGCCACAAAGGACAAGUUCAAUAUGCAGGUUUACAAUUUGGAAGUGGCGCAGGUUCUUUGGAAUGUCUACAACCUUUCAGUAGAAUUUUUUUUUGAAAAGCAUGGCACAGCAAGAAAAAGAUAUAAGACACUACAAGACAUUCCAAGUGAUUUUGAAUAAGACAAUUGAUUGACUUUUUCAAUGUAUUCUUAAAUAAAUCAAAUAGUUGAUGUAAA